UUAAUACUCCCUCUGUCCAACAAAGGAUGUCUCAUGCAUCUAUAUACUAAGUCAUGUCUAGAUACAUCCAAAUUUUGACAAACUUGAGACAUCUUUUGUUGGACAGAGGGAGUAGUUU
rnacentral:pre_miRNA from 1 species